AAUAGGAGAAUGACAAAUCAGAUUUUUUCUCCUAAUUUUCAGUUUUUUUCUCCUAACAAAAUUUAAAUUCAACUAAAAAUGCUAAAAAUCAGGAGGAAAAAUCUGAUUUGUUAUUCUCCUGUU
rfam:Gossypium arboreum cultivar AKA8401 contig_63685_1, whole genome shotgun sequence.